CCUUUGCAUUAUGGGAAAAGACAGCCAUCUUCCCCGCUGGUGACACCGUGCACACAGGUUUUGAGCUUGGAUGGGACUUUUGGCCGCCACUUUGCUCCCGAGUAUGCCUGGAUGAAACCGGCCCAGAAAGUAAUGCAAGAAACCGGUCCAGAAAGUAAUCCAAGAAAGAGAAAGUGACGGAGUCCUGUUGACAGCAGAGUCCCUGUUGUGACCCAUGUUUGAGAUUAGCGUCCUCCCCUGAACUGUCUGUGAAGCCAGUACGCUCCCUUCUCUGCUUAGGCGCUUGUGAGACGGGUCUUUCUCCACCUGAGCAGUGUUUGUAAAGACGACACAGCGUCCUCUCAGCCCUGAACACCUCGGCAGGGAAGCCAAGCGUGGAAGAAGUGCUGGCGUGGGAGUGUGGGUUGCAGGGCUACCUCCGCCGGCCACUGUCAUGUCCUUGGGCCAGUGGCUCUCUGUGGCUCGCCCUUCUCCUCUGUGGAAGAGGCUGUUGGAAGACAGAGGGACUCUAAAUGUCUCUUCGAAGGCCAUAAGUCUUGGCUCCGUGAUAACACCGUGUCAACACUUCAGGUUAAUCUGAGGUUCUGUCUCCCACCGCCACCUACACAGCCCGGUGACAGAUGACACACUGACCUAUUUUAAAACUUGAAAAGCAAAUCGACAGGACCACAACGUGCUUUAAGAUAGAGCGAGACUCUCUCUGAAAUGUUGCCGGGAUGUACAUUUCUCCGGAAGUGUGUUAACGAGAGCCCCGAUUCUACUUGGAGCACCAAUAUGCCCUGCUCUGAGGAGCACUUGCUUUCCCAGCCUCCCUUGCAACUCAGGGUGGCCAUGUGACAAUGUCAUCCAGUGAAACAAGUGGAAGACUGCAAGGAGGUUAGAGCCAAGGCUGGUACCCCUCUCUCUUCUCGCCCUGGAUUUUCUGUGCCUCGAAUGUUCACGGGCUGUCUGGAGCUAUGGCGGCCAACGUGAAACCAUGAGAUGACAGACGUGAAGGGACAGUCCAACACGUUCAGGAUAGAAAAGCAAAAGGUGCCAGGUCUGCAGAGAUAUCCUCCAACUCUCACCUGCUCAUAUUCUUCACAACGCUCCGUGGAUCCCAGCCUCUAUGGACCAGAGAGUAUGGCUACAACCUCAUCACAUGUACAAACUAAAUAAACAUGCAGCAUUGGUGUUUGGGCA